AGGCAGCAGGGCCUGAAACCUGGGAGUGUCUGGGGCAGGCCGCAGGCCACCCAGGGCGGUCCUGGGGCUGCCGUCGCAAAGUUUCAUAAACCGGGGGCUUCCAACCACAGAGCUCCCUUACCUCCUGGGUCUGGAGACAGAAGUCUGAGCUCAAGGUGUUGGUGUUCCGUUCCUCCAGCGGGAGAAGCUGGUCCUCAUCUCCCAGUGCGGACGCCGCCGGAGACCCUCGGCUUGCAGGUCUGCUCUAGAGAAACUCUACGGGAGGACAGAGACCAGCACUAACGUUCACUGCACCACUGUUUCUAAGGGCGAAUAACGGAACGGCUCUGGUGCCCUCAGCAGGCGCCAGCCUCGGGUUCCUGGGGCGGUCCACCCUGCUUGGAAUUACCUGCGUGGUCCUGAGAAGGCCCUUCCUUCCCCGCCCUCCGUGGCCGUGCAUGCCUUCAGCGGACACACGGCGCCGCGCUUCUCGCCUGACCCCCCCGACCUUGUCCUGCAGCCCCUGCAAGGCGAGGCUCGAGGGACCAGACCCGCGGGCGAAGCCGCCUGAAGCUCGGGACCCGGGCCGGACCGCAGAGCCGGGUAGGCC